rnacentral:sRNA from 1 species
AUGAACUAAGUCGAUGCUACGCACCGCGCGC